UACAGAGGUCUCAACCGUUGUUCGGAUUCAUUGGGCGUAAAGGGUGCGUAGGCGGUCGCGCAAGUCGGAUGUGAAAUCUCAGGGCUCAACCCUGAAACUGCAUUCGAUACUGCGUGGCUAGAGUGCUGGAGAGGAGACUGGAAUUUACGGUGUAGCAGUGAAAUGCGUAGAUAUCGGGAGGAACACCAAUGGCGAAGGCAGCUCGCUGGGACGGUACUGACGCUGAGGCGCGAAAGCGUGGGGAGCAAACAGG
rnacentral:rRNA from 1 species